rnacentral:tRNA from 1 species
UGGCCGAGUGGUUAAGGCGGCGGCCUGCUAAGCCGUUGGGCUAUGCCCGCGAGGGUUCGAAUCCC